ensembl:lncRNA
GUAAAUCCUACCUUAACAGAGUGAGUAGAGGCACUAUGCCACCUGGAUAAGAAGGUGUGGAGCUCGUUGUAGGUUUCUGGAGUCCAUACUUCCUGGACAGAUUGCCUCCUGGAUCACUUUGGAAAGCACAGAAGGAAAUGUACUGGAGACCCCUGCUAAUAUUAACUCAGUCCUUGUGAGUGCAAGGCUGGUUUCCAAGUGGAGAUGUCACACCAUGAAAUCUCCCUGUGUGCCAUGCUGAUUUCUCCAUCUCAGUGGAGAAGCCAAGGAUCAAAUGCUCCAAGGUGCUAGACUGUUUUCCUUUCCAGCCUGCAGUGGCGCCCGAUGAACGCGGCACUGUUUGUUACCUGCGCUGCAGGAACCGGCUCCAUCCCAACAUGGGGAUGAAGCAUAGCGCCAGUGCUGCCCGCGGAUAGCACAG